rnacentral:rRNA from 1 species
ACGCUCGACACCUACGGGAGCAGCAGUGGGGAAUAUUGCACAAUGGGGGAAACCCUGAUGCAGCGACGCCGCGUGAGCGAAGAAGUAUUUCGGUAUGUAAAGCUCUAUCAGCAGGGAAGAAACUGACGGUACCUGACUAAGAAGCACCGGCUAAAUACGUGCCAACAGCCGCGGUAAUCUGAGCGGGCUGGCAAGGC